rnacentral:rRNA from 2 species
GAUGAACGCCGGCGGCGUGCCUAACACAUGCAAGUCGAGCGAGAUGUUCGGUUGCCGAGAUUUCGGUCAAGGCGCCUUACGGAAAGCGGCGGACGGGUGAGUAACGCGUAGGCAACCUGCCCACAGGCGAGGGACAGCCUCGGGAAACCGUGGUUAAUACCUCAUAAUGCGAAAAGCCCUCAUGGGCCUUUCGCCAAAGAUUUAUCGUCUGUGGAUGGGCCUGCGUCUGAUUAUGCCUGUUGGCGGGGUAACGGCCCACCAAAGCUACGAUCAGUAACCGACCUGAGAGGGUAAUCGGUCACAUUGGAACUGAGACACGGUCCAAACUCCUGCGGGAGGCAGCAGUGGGGAAUAUUGCACAAUGGGCGAAAGCCUGAUGCAGCAACGCCGCGUGAGCGACGACGGUCCUAUGGAUUGUAAAGCUCUGAUCUGAGGGAAGAAACAAAUGACGGUACCUCAGGAGAAAGCCCCGGCUAACUACGUGCCAGCAGCCGCGGUAAUACGUAGGGGGCAAGCGUUAUCCGGAUUUAUUGGGCGUAAAGGGUGCGUAGGUGGCUUGCCAAGCGCGGGGUGAAAGGCAAUGGCUUAACCAUUGUGAGCCUUGCGAACUGGCUGGCUUGAGUGCAGGAGGGGAAAGCGGAACUCCCAGUGUAGCGGUGAAAUGCGUAGAUAUUGGGAAGAACACCGGUGGCGAAGGCGGCUUUCCGGACUGUAACUGACACUGAGGCACGAAAGCGUGGGGAGCAAACAGGAUUAGAUACCCUGGUAGUCCACGCCGUAAACGAUGAGUACUAGGUGUCGGGGCCCAAAAGCCUCGGUGCCGAAGUUAACGCAUUAAGUACUCCGCCUGGGGAGUACGCACGCAAGUGUGAAACUCAAAGGAAUUGACGGGGACCCGCACAAGCAGCGGAGCAUGUGGUUUAAUUCGAAGCAACGCGAAGAACCUUACCAGGGCUUGACAUCCCCCCGAUCGGCGUGUAACGGCGCCUUUCCUUCGGGACGGGGGAGACAGGUGGUGCAUGGUUGUCGUCAGCUCGUGUCGUGAGAUGUUGGGUUAAGUCCCGCAACGAGCGCAACCCUUGUCAUUAGUUGCCAUCGCGUUAUGGCGGGCACUCUAAUGAGACUGCCGGGGAUAACUCGGAGGAAGGUGGGGAUGACGUCAAAUCAUCAUGCCCCUUAUGUUCUGGGCUACACACGUGCUACAAUGGCCGGUACAAAGAGACGCAAUGCAGCGAUGCGGAGCAAAUCAGGAAAACCGGCCCCAGUUCGGAUUGCAGGCUGAAACCCGCCUGCAUGAAGCCGGAGUUGCUAGUAAUCGUGAAUCAGAAUGUCACGGUGAAUACGUUCCCGGGUCUU